UCAGCUACCGUAGCUUCUCUAUGUACUCCAAAAGAGAAAGUAACAAACAAAGUUGAUGAAAACAUUCAGAAGCCGCAGAACUCAGGUGUUGCUGUGAAAGAUGAAGGGAAGUCAGUAUCAGUGAAAGGAGAUCAAGCUGGAACAGACAAAGUUGAUAAAAAGCGUCUAAAGCAGCAAAACUCAG